rnacentral:rRNA from 1 species
UACGUAGGUGGCAAGCGUUGUCCGGAUUUACUGGGCGUAAAGAGCGCGCAGGCGGUCGUUCAAGUCGAGUGUGAAAGCCCCCGGCUCAACUGGGGAGGGUCACUCGAUACUGCCCGACUUGAAGGCAGGAGAGGGUAGUGGAAUUCCCGGUGUAGUGGUGAAAUGCGUAGAUAUCGGGAGGAACACCAGUGGCGAAGGCGGCUUCCUGGCCUGCUCUUGACGCUGAGGCGCGAAAGCUAGGGUAGCAAACGGGG